UACAGAGGUCCCAAGCGUUGUUCGGAUUCAUUGGGCGUAAAGGGUGCGUAGGCGGUUCGUCGCGUCGGCUGUGAAAACCCGGAGCUCAACUCCGGGCCUGCAGUCGAUACGGGCGGACUUGAGUGUUGCAGGGGAGACUGGAAUUCCUGGUGUAGCGGUGAAAUGCGCAGAUAUCAGGAGGAACACCGGUGGCGAAGGCGGGUCUCUGGGCAACUACUGACGCUGAGGAGCGAAAGCGUGGGGAGCGAACAGG
rnacentral:rRNA from 1 species